ACCCACCUUGGCCUCCCAAAGUGCUGGUAUUACAGGCGUGAGCCACUGUGCCCAGUCUAUUUUUAGUUUUAAUAGCCAUAUAUCUAAUAGCUGCCAUCUUGGACAGCAGAGGUCUAAGUAACAAUUAUUUGUUGGCUUUAAGUUUUGCAAAUGUCUUCUCCAAGUUUGUGAACUGUCUUUUCACUCCUUUCAAGUUGCUUUUGAUGAACAGAAGUCCUUAAUUUUAAUGUAUUGAAUAUUAUUAACCUGUUCCUUUACAGUUGGUGUAUUUAUAUAUCUUGUUUAUAAAAUCCUUUCUCAUACUUUCUUAUCUUAGUAUAUUUUCUUAUACUGAGGUCUGAGGAACUGAUUUUUGUGUUUAUAAUUUUCUUCCCUCAUGAGUCAUCAGUUUUCCUAGCACAGUUUACUGAAUGAGCCUUCUUUUCCUCACCAAUCUGCAGGACUGCCUGUAUCAAUCAGGGUACUGGCGAGAAACAGAAGGCACACUCAAACAUUAACAUUAAAGAGAGUUUAAAAAAGGCAGUAUUUACAAAGGAGAGGCUGAGGUAAGGGAAACUAAUAGGUGAUGAAGCAGUUUCAACUGGCAAGAGCUGAAACCCUUACCACUUCUAACCUUGAGAGUCAAGGAAAGGCAGGAGUUACUGGACCCAGAGGGAGGAGUGGAGGAAGACCUCCAAAUAGAAGGGGAGACUUCCACAGAGAAACAUACCAAUCACCUUGACCCAGGAGAGACAGAGUUGGCCAGAGGACUAAACACCUGUCUGCUCAACCUCAUGCUGUCCCUCCUGUAGAUUUGGUGGUAAAUCCACCAUAACCCAGCUGGAAGCCAGAGGGCAGGGAACCCACCAAUGCAGGCCACAGAGGUCUGCUCUGGAGUACAGAACUGAGUGGAGCAGGUUGGAGACUGCAUCUGGGUGAACAAAUAAACCAUCAAGCACACCUGCAUGGUUAUAAAUCUAUUUUCCAUAAAUGCAUGGGUAGGUACAAGAUCUCUCUCCAUACUGUGCCACUGAUCUAUUUGCAGCACUCCACGCUGCUUUAAGUAUUAAAGCUUUAAAUAUAUUUUCAUAUUUGAGAGGGCAAGAAUCAUCACCUUGUUUUUCCUCUUCAGGAAUGUCUUGGCCAUUCCCUGCCUUUUGUUCUUCCAUUUAUAUUUCAGAAUCAGCUUGCCAGUAUUCAUGAAGAACUCUGUUGGAAUUGUGACGGGAGUUGCAAUGAGUCUCUAGAUCAAUUGGAAGAGAGCUGACAUAUUUACAAUUCCUUCCACGGAUAGGGUUUAUGUCUCCACAUACUUAGGUCUUAUUUAAUAUAUUUCUUAAUAAGGUUUUAUCAUACUCUCUAUAAAGAGCUUCCUUUUUUUGUUAUUUUUUUUCUAGGUACCUAUUUUUGUUGCUAUGGUAAAUAUCUUUUUUUUUUAAAUAAAAAAGUCACUUUUUGCCUGAUGCUUGUAUAUAAAAAUGAAAUUAUUUUUGUCUAUUUUGGACUGAGCAACCUUACUAAAUUAUCUUAGUAAUUCUAAUGAUUUACCUGAGAGUUCUUUGGAGUUUUCUUUGCAGACAGACGUAUUAUCUGCAAAUAAUGAUAGUGUUGUUUCUUCCUUUACAAUCCAUAUAUCUUUACUUUUUAAUCUUCUGUACCAUUUAGGACUUCUAGUUAAGUGUAGAAUAGAAGUUGAUAUUAGCAUACAUCCUUAACUUUCAGGCUCCUGAUUUUCAGGGGAAUGCUUUCAAUAUUUCAACAUUAAUUAUAAUGCCCUCUGUAACUUCUUGUAGAAGCACUUUAUCACGUUAAUCAAAUGCCCCCUACUAUUUCUAGGUUAAGUGUUUUUGUUUUUAACAUGAAAGUAAGUCGAAUUUUAUUAAAUGCUCUUACUGCAUUAAUUGGGGUUAUCAUAGGAGUUUUCUUCCAACCGCAUUUGGAAUAGUCCAAUUUCUAAUUGCUAAAUUCCUACCCAGUUUUCAAGGGUAGGAUCAUUCCCCACUCCCCAUCAUAAGGCAUCCCUUUUCCUCUCCCUUUAUUUCAUAGUCCCUUUGUAGAAGGAAAUCAUAUAUUCACUUAUGCAUCCCCCAAUGCCCAGCACACAAGCACAUAGUAAAUGCUAACAAAAUGUCGGUUGAAUUAUGGAGCGAGUCAUUCUUGUGGCACUUUAUAGCUUUGAUUUUAUACUUUCAUAUCCACGUUUCUUUUCUCGCCUCUGGACUGGAAGCUUUAGAGGACAGAGUCCACAUCUGAUGAUUCUCGUUAUUCCUCUAGGACACAAUCCAGGGACUGAUUCAGAACCUUGUUCACCAAUAGAUGAUUCCUUGCUUUCCUUGGUAAACUCCAUCAUCAAAACCAUCCAACCAGUCUUCCAGGAGUAGCCAAUCUCUCUUCAUAGUCCGCUCUGCAGAGAGAGAGGUUUAUUUCACUCUCACCCUCAGGGAACCAGGCCAGUUCUGAUGACUAAGGGCAAAAUAAUUUGCUCCUUUGCUGAGAUUAAUUUCUAAAAAAUGAUUUUGCAAUAGCCUGGGCUUGACUGGCCAGGGGUGAAGGAAGGAGAAAGAAGCCAUAAAGAGCAUUUCUUCCCUCUAAUGAAACUGAACCAAGGACAGGACAAUAAGCCAGGGAGUCAGCCAUUGAUGGGUCUUUACUCAGCCCUUACUUUGUUCCCGGCCCUAUUGCUAGGCAUUGUAGAAGUGGGAGAGACAUGCUGGCCUCUUUCCUGAAUGCUUGGAAUUUAUUUUUCACCUUGGAAACAGAAAUUUCACAUUUGACAAGUUAAACAAUACGACAAGGCCGUCUGUUUACUCAUUCAUCCAUUUAUUCUUCCGUUCAUUUAUUCAUAUAGUGUUAAACAAUACGACAAGGCCAUCUGUUUACUCGUUCAUCCAUUUAUUCUUCCAUUCAUUUAUUCAUGUAGUAUUUCAAAGCCUCUGCCAUGUGGUAGGUAUUGUGCUAAGCACUGGGGAAUUCAGGGUUGAAGAGAUGCCUCCCCUGGCCUUAGGCUGAAUAAGGGAGUUGGUUAAUUAAACAGCUCCAGUACCGUGUGAUAUAUGUGGUGGUCAAGGUAUGUUUUCAAGCACUGAAUUGGGGAACAACAGGAUACAGGGACUCUCAGAGGGAGUAAUGAAUGGAUUAUCAGAGGACAUGAAUUUGGUGUAGAAGUUUAUUAUCAGGAUAAGAGAGAAGGAUAUAUGAAAAGUUGGGGCGACAUGGAGAGCACAGGAAGUUUGGAAGAUGAUGACUGGCAUGACUAGAGUUCAGGGACAGGAUGGAGGAUGAGAAGGAAGAAGGCCAGGAAGGCAGGCAGGGACCAGGCCCUUAACUCACAGUGAGAAGUUGUGGGAGCCUUCACCUCAGGGCAUCAGAAGUCAUUUAAACAUUUCAGCAGGGAGUAAUGUGAUCUGAUUCGUGUUUUAGGUUCCAAAAGGUCAGAGCAGAGAGAAUGGAUAGGGAGAGCGGAAACUGGAAUGAGGAAGGCAAAUGAAGAAGAGUGUUUGAGCUGGGACUUGAAGGAUGCACAGGAUUGACUGAGUAAGGAUGAGAGGGUGUGGCAUCCCAGGCAAAAGGGAUGGCAAAACUUCCAGUAUAGAAAUUGGGAAGCAGUGGGAGGUCAAGGUACCAGUGAAGAGAUCAGGCUGAUUAGAAUCCAAGGAAGGUCAUAAAGUUUGGAAGUGGGUGGCACGCAUUAGGGGGACAUCUGGGGGCUCAGAAGCCUGUAGAACCAAGUGAAAAGGGGUCCAGCAAAGAUUCCAAAAUCUUAGAAAUUGGAGAUAAAGCAGUGGGUAGUGGGAAGAGAUUAGCUGGAGAUGAAAAAACCUAGAUUCUAGACUCAGCUCUGUCACUAACUUGCUACAUGAGUUUGAGCAAAUUAUUUCUCCUCUCUAGGUCUCGGUUUUCUCACUUAUAAAAUGAAAGUGCUGGCCUAGAUCUCUUCUAGCACUGGUGAUUUAGGAUGCCAAGCACUAGCCUCUAUCCUUCCAUUCCCAAGUGUGUUUGCAUUUGCCCCAGGCCAUCUCAGACCGUGCUCACUGCCUCACUGCAGCCUGCCAAGCUGCAUCUCAGCCAGAGGAAGCAGAAUUAGUGGAUGAGACAAAACAAGACAAAAAUACGCAUAAUAUAAACCCUCAAAGAAGGAAGGAAGGCUGUUAAAGCAUGAGGCAGGGAGAACCAGUGAUGAAGAUAAUUAGGAAAACCUAAUUAUUGGAAUAACAGACUCAAUAUAUAGGUUGCACAACAGAAAGGAAAAGCUGAAGAAUAGUAUAUCUGUUAGCUUUUGCUGUGUAACAAACCACUGCUAAACUUACUGGCCAUUUAUUACUGCUCAUUGUUCACAUGUCACAUAAGCACUGCUGUUGAGCUGGUCAGACACAGUUGAUCUCAGCCUUGCUCAUGCAUUUGUGGCUGGCUGGAAGGUCUGCUGGGGGCUAGCUGGUUUGGGAUCAUCUCAUUCACGUGUCUGACAAUUGUCUGGAUGUCAGCUGGGACAAAGGAGCUGACUGGGUCACAUGUCUUUUAAGAUUAUUCAGUAUGCACACCAGGGCUUGUCUACAUGGUGCUAUGUUUGAAUGUGUCCCCUCCAAAAUUCAUGUUGAAAUUUGAUCCCCGUUGUGGUGGUCUUAUGAGGUGGGGCCUUUGGAAGUUGAUUAGACCAUUAAGGCCCCACUCUCAUGAAUGGGUUAAUGACCUUAGGAAAGAAGGUUUUAGAGAGUUUGCCUUCCACCAGAUGAGGACAAACAAAAAGGUACCAUCUUGAAAGCAGAGAGCAGCUCUCACCAGACACCAAUGGGAGCACCUUGGUCUUGGACUUCCAGCUUCCAGAACUGUGAGACAUAAAUUUCUAUUGUUUCUAAACUACUGAGUCUGUGGUAUUUUAUCAUAGCAGCUUGAACAACUAAGACAUAUGGUGGUAUCAGGAUUCUAAGAGAGAGACUGGAAGUGUACAAAUGGUCAGAAUAUGUCACAAGGCCAGCCAAGAGUCAAGGAUGGGGAAAUAGAUUCCAUUGAUGAUGCAGAGUAGCACUACAAAAUGGCAUAGACAGAGGAAGGAAUGAGGGAUUGUGGAAAUUUUUUCCCCAAUUUAUUAAAUUGAAUUCUCUGGCCGGAGUUAUUCACAUUCUUCCCAAAUGCAAAUAUACCUACUCCCAUUCCAGUACCCCACAAAAUUCUCACUGAACUAUGACAUCAAACUUGGAGUCAAGCUUGGAUCUCAUGAUCUCUCUCAGUUUCCAAUGAGACUUUUCAAAUGUGGCUCCUCUUCACUUGAAGACCCCUGAAUGAAGAAGAUAAGUGACUUGACCCACACCUCACUAAAACACAUUGGUGAGACAGGUAAAGUGUAGAUGUAAUGAAAACUUUUAUUCAGAAGGGGGAAAUAAGAAGCAAAUAACACUCACUGGUCUAUAGCACUACUGAAAUCCAGCUGGGCUAAUAUUAACAGGUUUUCCUACUGAAGAGGAGGAAAUAUUCCUUGAUUAGACCUAAACUCUGCUCCGUGGGAGUGACUUCUCAGUCUGUUUUUUACCUCUGUCUUUUGAGGCCACUUUUUGGGAUUACCAAGACUGGCCUCAUUUGCAGCUGGGUAGCUUUCUCAAUUUGAUUCCUUUCUGUAGAAAGUUGGGGACCAGAAGCCCUCUUAUAUUUGAGCCACCUUAGAUUUCAGUCCACAUCUUAAUGUAGGCUGGUAGCACUUUUACAUAUUCAGCUCCAUUAAAAACCAUGUGGGUUUCCUAUAAAUCUGAUUCAAGUCCAACCUAUUUGACAAAAGUCAUGCCAAUUUUCUUUGAGAUAUGACCCUCUCUUUAGACUUAUUCACAGCUACUUUGGGUUUGUCCAGACAGCUAUAAGAUGAUGUCCUUAAAGUUCCUAGAAUUUUUUUUUGUCUAGAAUAAAGGGUCUACUUAAGAUGCAGUAACUUAAUUCUGUUGAUUUUAACAAAGGAUGUCUGUAGGGAAAAUUGCACAAAGCUUCCCCGGGCUUGAAAACUACCUGCCUGGAUCAUGACAGUUCCUUUGGCCAUUACUAAGGAGCCAUGGUGUUCAAAGCAGGCUCUUCCUACGGACAGGCAGUAUAAGUAUUGCCUAUGAAGUGUGCUAAGAGAGGAACCAGGAAGAUUCCACCUCAGACUCAAAAAUCUUUUUUAUUUCUCCCAUUCCUUAAGUUCCUUCAAUGUAGAUGGAUUGCUUUUGGUCAAUUGCAUCAAUUGCAUUAAUCUGUCACAGAGGGUCUAUCAUGCAUGGCCAUUGUCAUGGAUAAAGUACCUUAAUUACUUUGCUCAGUGCCUUGCCCUUAGAAAGUGCUCAGGAUAUCUUAGUUCCCUCCUCCCAGUUCAUUCCUACUUUUCCUGAGGCUUCCGUCUUGCAAUUUACGUUACACCACAGGAGGGAAUAGAGUAAGGGUCUAUCACCUCCAUGUAAGUGAGUUUGUUGGUUGGUUCCUUGAACAAAUAUUUAUGGAGUGACUACCCUGUGCCAGGCACUGGGACUAUGUUCCUGAAUGAAGUCCCUGCCUUUAUGGAGCUUACAACAACGUAGGGGACAGAGAGACAGAAAAUAAGUCAACAACCCAUAAAAUAAUCACAGACUGUGAUAACACUAGGAUGGAAACAAGGUGGGGGGCUGAGACUGGGCAGCUGGGGAACCCUGUAUGACUGAUGAUAGCUGCGAAUGAGGAGGAGGGAAGGGAAGGCUGGAGAGGAAUGAGAAAA
rnacentral:lncRNA from 1 species